rnacentral:rRNA from 1 species
AUGGCGACGCAGGACGGCGCGGCGGGCGCCCAGACGGCCGUGGCGGGGUGCUACGCCGGGCCGGCGUUCAACACGGUGGUGGGCCUGGGGCUGUCGAUGGCACUGGCGGCGGGGGCGCGGUACCCGGAGCCGUACAAGAUCCCGGUGGAUGCGGCGACGUACGUGACGGUGGCGUUCGCGUUCCUGGUGGCCGGGCUAGCGUGGGCGUUGGUGGUGCUGCCGGCGAGGGGGAUGAGGCUGGACGCCACACUCGGUGCCGGGCUGCUCGCCGUGUACCUCUGCUUCAUCGCCGUCCGGGUCGCCGACGCCGUCGGCGUCCUCAGCCUAGAUUCUCUCCUACCAAGACAGUGA